UACGUAGGGGGCUAGCGUUGUCCGGAAUCAUUGGGCGUAAAGAGCGUGUAGGCGGCCCGGUAAGUCCGCUGUAAAAGUCAAAGGCUCAACCUUUGAAUGUCAGUGGAUACUGCCGGGCUAGAGUCCGGAAGAGGCGAGUGGAACUCCUGGUGUGGCGGUGGAAUGCGCAGAUAUCAGGAAGAACACCAACGGCGAAGGCAGCUCGCUGGGACGGUACUGACGCUGAGACGCGAAAGCGUGGGGAGCGAACAGG
rnacentral:rRNA from 1 species